GGAGGGAGAUACCAAAUGGCGGGCAGAGGGCUCAGCCGUGAGGUGUGCAGCUGUCCCUCGGAUCACCUCAGGCGGACCCUGCCGAGCCCUAGAGCCUCGGAGAAGCUGCCCAGCUUUAAACUCACUGAGUGCACUGUUCCCAGCCACUGUUGAGAGGUCCGUGCUUUUCAUUUGAUCUUCAGUUUUCUCUGAUGCGGCCACUGCAGGCUUGAAAGCUAAGCUUAGUUUUUUAAAAUACCACAGCUAAAAUGACUUCAGGAGAUGAAGUUUUAAGAUAAAGCACUAAAAAUUACAAGGCUUCUGAGAGGAGCCUGUAGCAUUUGGAAAAGAGCUGGGAGGAGAGGAGCAGCAAGGGAAAAGAAUGAAGAAAUAACUGAGAUAAGCAAUUCAAAGGCAAGCAAACAAAAAGGGAAAGGAUAGGUACCCUUUCCUUUCUUUGUUUCUAAUUGUCCAAGCAAACUGUGCUAUCCCUCAUCAGUUCUGCAAAAGGACACGCGUCCAAAGUGCAGGAUAGAAGACAGCUAUCAUGAAGAAAUUCUCCAUGCUACACAUUUUAUAAGGAUUAUUACACAACUGAUGUAGGUUUAUGCUAUGAACUCCCAUUGGUAUGGGUGUGCUCACUGAAAUGCAAUGGGGAGAGAGCUGCCUUUUUUUUUUUUUUUACCCUGAAAAAACAAAAGCUACAUGCCAGGGUGAAUGAAAUGCCAUUUUUGUCUUUUGUAAUAGCAAAUUACAAGUACGUAAAUCUGAGGUUCUGUAAUAUUUAGGGUUGUAACUGCAAAUAACGGAAUACUCAAAUUCUCA